rnacentral:sRNA from 1 species
UCGCCGUGGAAGUCAAUCGUGAACAUUUC